rnacentral:lncRNA from 1 species
AUGUGUCUGCUCCUGUGCUCUGCUGUGCGUUCUCAUUGGACUGGGUCUGUGGAUAAAACGGUGACCGUCUAUGAAGCGAUAUGUGUCUGCAUGCCGUGGUUUGCCUCUGGCUCUAAGGAUCAGACGGUGAAUAUCUGGAGAAUUGGAGAUGAAAGUGCAGAAGCGUGUAAGUCCACCUGCUUGUGCUGAAUACUGACACUGUUUGACCGUCUGAACACUAGAUCAAUGCUCCCCAUUCAACACAAGGGAAGCUUACUGAAAUGUUAUAAUGUCCAUUAUCAUAGAAAAAUCAUUUCAGGAACUAUUUACAAUAAAAUGACAUUCAUUUGUGCUUUCUCUUAGUUUUCCAGCUGAACCAUUGAAAAUGUCGGUCCAAGGUUAGAGCUUCUCACCAUUAACAUUCACCAAUAAAACAAGAGAAAGAAGCACGUUGUUUAUUUACAGUGCAUGGUUUUAUUAAAUCAGAAAACUGAAGGUAAAGCUAAAAGGAUGAGUUAUUGACAUACCAGCGAGGCAGAUUUGGACAUGUGCAAAGUAGUUCACAAGACUGAUCCGAACGAUACAUUCACGAAGCGAACCAAAUCUAAUUCUCAACACACAGACAAUGUGCUUCAUGCUUUCAUACUAGUUCAAGAAAGCUAGAAAUCAUUAUUAUUAUAUAAUUAUACUAUUAUUAUUAUUAUUAUUAUUACAAAAAAUGACCUGUAUAGCAACCUGCUUAAAACCUCUCCGAACCCCCUGAGCACUUCUAACAGUCUGUAGCUCUGAGUUUUGAAUGGAAAACAACUCAUAUUUUCUUCAUAAGUCUUUAAAAUUAUACUUUUACUCCUAAAGAUAAAAAAAAGUGUUAGAUGCAAUGAACACUAAAAUAUGAUCAUCCUCAAGUGAGGAACCCCCUUUCUAAAAUUCAUGUUUUCAUGUAAAGACCCAAUUUAUACUCUGAAAAAUAUUGUGAAUAUUGGUAUUAUUUGAAAAUAAAAGAAAAGAGGGAAAAAAAAGUAUUUCUAUUAAAUUGUUACAUUUUUGUUCUUUUCCCUAUAGUACUGUACUCCUAAGGUGUAUUAUGUAAUUUUUUAUUAUUAUUAUUUAUGCAAAUCAAUUAUUAAUUUAUUAAACUGUAUACAACUUUAUUUUUUUUAAAGAUUUUUAUUUGGCUUAGUAAUUGAUUUAUUUGAAGCUAAACAUUUACACAGUUUUUCUGUAAACUAUAUAGUUUUAUUCUAAAUUGUACACAUACAUAUACAAUACAGAUAUACACACAGACACAUACAUACACACACACACACACAUAAUUAAAAUUCAAACCAAUUUUCUUAGCAGAACUUGUCACCUAAAAAUGCAAUGCUUCAAACUGCCUGAAGCAGCUCAGGUUAAUUCUGACUGUCCUCUGUAGGGAGUUGAUUGAUUGGUUGAGUUUAUCACCUGCAUUGAUGAAGGCUGCAGUUCGAGCCAAUCAGAUGCUUCUGUUAGUCUCGUGGUUGUCCGGUGGGGUCCUCAGGAGAAGCUGGAGCUCUGCGCUAAUGAAUGAAGAGCUGCUGCAGUCAUCAGAACCUGCUGCUGCGGUGAGUCCAGAGAUGACUACAUAUUGAUCACACACGCACGAUUCCCACAGCUCUCUCCAGCUCCUCAUGCAAUCAGCAACCUCUCCAUUGUAAAUGACAGGUGAUGCAUGCUGACAGCGCUGUCUAUGAGAGACACAACUCCAGUGCCGCACAUUAGAGCGCGUGCACCUUCAGAUUUCAAACUUAGCAGGAUGUUUUCAUUCCCUUAGAGCCGUGUUACACACUUCAUUAAAGGUCCAUAAUAGGGGGACUUUAACAAAGCUAUAGGGUGUUAACACACACACACACACACACACACAUACAUAUAUUAGGGCUGGGUUUUGACACAAAUUUCACAGUCCGAUUCAAUUCUCAUUCAAAAGCUUGCAAGACAAAUUGUGUUUGUCACCUUGAGAUGGCCAGAUAUAUUUGGAGUUAUACACGGAAGCAUAAAGCAAAACCAAAAACAGCAAAAUCAUGUUGCUCAACAGUUUUCUCUGUCCUGUAGAGUCGGUGGGUCUCCGGGCUGGAGUGGGAUCUGAGAUCUUCACUGCUGGACUCUGAUGUUCCUCUGUCUGAUCACCAGAGAGCUCAUGAAGGACCCCGUCAUCACUGCAGGUCAGUGCAGGACACAGACACUAAUUAGCUUGUCCUGAUUAAUCUAGAGGUAAAAUAUCUUUAGGUUCACCAAAGAACCUAUCAGUGAACAUUUCAGAAAUUUCAAAUAUUUUAAAUCGGAAAUAUUCCAUGGAUCUUCACAGGGGUCAUGAACUGACUUUAUGAAAAUCACGUGUGAAUUGUCUUGUUUGUUAAUGAAUAUGUGGUAAAAUGACAUGAAAUGAAAAGUGACAUAAGACUAGAACUUCAUUAAAAAUAAAAUGUAUUCUCUUCCUAAUGUUAGGAUCAGAAGAAAGGCAGUGCAAAUACUUAAGUCUUAUUCUCUUCAGAGCAUCUUUAUCAUUUGGUUUCUACAUUCGUCUCUCUCGUGAACACUACAUGUGUGAAUCAGUGGGCGGGGCUAAACAAACUGAUGUUGAUCAUCUGUGGAGGCGGAGCUUAUCCACACUAUGACAUCAUCGAGUAGAAUGUUCCAAAAGCUGUCGUUUUGGCGGACUGCCUUCAAUAUAAGCUGUUUUUAGACUAAAACCCCAAAUUUACAGAUUGUUUUAAAGUACAAUAACCUCUUCCUUGUCAGAAGAUCAAGGGGAUUUUGGUUCCUCCGUUCAUGACCCCUUUAAAGCUCAUGGAAUCAUGAAAACCGAUAAUGAACCUGUACUUUCAGUAUUGUCGACACCGAAAUAAUUCUCAUUCACAACAUUAGCUGUAAUAAUCGAAGUAUCAGUACGACAUCAACAGUCGUUCAACAGCUUCAUGUUCAACAGCUUCAUGUUCAUCUCUUG